rnacentral:rRNA from 2 species
CACGCCCUAAACGAUGUCAACUAGGUGUUGGGAGGGUUAAACCUUUUAGUGCCGUAGCUAACGCGUGAAGUUGACCGCCUGGGGAGUACGGCCGCAAGGCUAAAACUCAAAGGAAUUGACGGGGACCCGCACAAGCGGUGGAUGAUGUGGAUUAAUUCGAUGCAACGCGAAAAACCUUACCUACCCUUGACAUGUCAGGAAUCCUGAAGAGAUUUGGGAGUGCUCGCAAGAGAGCCUGAACACAGGUGC